CAGAUCCAGUCCCUGAAGCUGAAGGAAAUAUAUGACCAGGUAAUGGUGUGUACUUAACAAGCAUCUAGGUAAAUACAUGUGCAUAAGGCACAGAAGCACAGAAUGGGAAAAGAAAGGGCGUGGAGGUUCAGCACAUUCUGAGGGUGUAUUUCAAGAUGAAAGGAAACUCAUAUGCAGAUGGUCUCAGAGUUCUAUCUUGAGACUCACUGGGGGAGGAGAAAGGGGGAAAGGAAAAAAAAGUCUUAAGGUUUGAGGCUAAGCUGCUAACCUGCUUAGUUACACUCCCACCUUGGCCUCUCAAAGUGCUGGGAUUAUAGGCAUGAACCACUGUGCCAACCCAACAUAGUGUUUUGAUAUGUGUAUAUUAACACACUGUGAAAGGAUUCACAGGUAAUUAACCAGGUAAUUCCAGGUAAUUAACCUAUCCAUCACCUCACACUUUUUUUUUUUUUUUCUUGUGGUGAGGACACUUGUCUUAGUCUCUUCAACUGCUGUAACAAGAUGUGUUAGACUGGGUAAUUUAUAAACAACAGAAAUGUAUUGCUCACAGUUUUGGAAGCUAGGAAAUCCAAGAUCAAGGCACCCACAGAUCUGGUGUCUGGUGAGGGCCUGUUCCUCAUAGAUGGCACCAUCUUGUGUCCUACCUAGUGGAAAGAGCAAGGCAGCUCUCUUCAACCUGUUUUAUAAGGGCACCAAUCCCAUUAAUGAGGGUUCCACCCUCAUGACAGUCACUUCCCAAAUGCCUCGUGAUGUGUGUGUGUGUGUCUGUGUAUGUGUGUGUGUGUGUAUCUCAGGGGCUCCAGGCCUCAAUACAAUGGGUAUAACAACAAUCCCAUCUUGUUGGGAGGAAUUAACAAUCAUGCAUCGAGCCCUGGGCCUCAGGCUUCAAUGUAUUAGUUAUUAGAGCUAAUCAUUAUUUAAUGUUUUAAACACCCCCAAGGAAGUAGAGAACAUUCCUGUCACAUUCUGCAGAAAAAGAAAUUGAGGCAAGGGGCAAAGCCAUUUGCCAAGGUCAUAGAUCCUGCAAGCCAAUGGCAAGGCAGGAUCUGAACCUGGGGCUUCAGAUCCUGGGGCUUUACCUGAUUAAAUACCAAGAGAGAGUGCUGAGAUUUUUUUGGUGGUGGACAGUCCCUGAGGCAAGCCAUUUUUAGAGCAUCUGGGCCACUUGGGGAAUUGAAUCUUUACCAGGGCUUCCCACCUCCUGUUGCCCCUUCUCUGAAGGUGACCCCCCUCCCACAGUAGCACCCCAACCACUCAGAACCCCCAAGCCACCUUCUUUGCACAUGCUGAAGCUAAUAUUGCCCUCCACUCCACCCCAACAUCAGGGACCCUGGCCCAAGCCCUUCCCUGGGAGCCCUUCCUCCUCUCAUGAGGCCUCCUUCCCAGCCCCUCAGAACAGCCUCCUUUAUGAGAGUGGCCAAGAUCCCACUGAAACCUUCCCUAUCAACUUUAUAAAAUUAAUCAGGGGAGAAGGGAGGGGCGAAAUGGAAAUCAGCCCAGCUUGCAGCACACACAGCAUUGGUCAUGAGGUCAGCUGCUCUCUGACCCACUUGCUCAGAGUUGUUUGCUGCCUGUUGCUCCAGAGUCACAUAGACCCUGUCACAAGGUCAUAGUUCCCCUUCACUGCUCAUAGAUAACAACUGGAACAUUAUAAAACGUUAACUUUUCCAUUUGAGAUAUUCUUUCAGGUCCUGCGUAGCAAUGAAACUGAGGCAGGAUAGGUACUUAAGGGAGUGACCGUGUUCUCAGGAUGCAGCGACCAUGGCACCCAUACAGUCAACACAGUGAGCCUCAGCAUUCGCAUUGUCAUUGCGCUCAUUCAAGCAAAGCUGUCUUCAUUAGGGAAUUUCCCCCAUAGACAGCAUGAGCAUUUUGAUUUUACCUGUCCUCAAACUGACAUUUUGCUCAUUAUAAUAGUAGAAGACAGCCCUACAUGGAGAUGUAAUAUGCUAAUGAGACAUGUGACAUAUGAACAAGCAUGUACAGCUACUGUGCAUGUGCACCCAGAAGACCACCCGGAACAUGCUUACUAGCAACACCUCUUCCCACCACCUUAUGAAUAAUCAUGUAAGACUCCCAUAAAGGGAGUCUCCCUACUGCCAGUCUCUGCUGUCUCACCCUUAUGAGCAGCCUGCCUUGAACCCUCUCUCUCACGGUAUACAGUCCAUUCUGCAUGUAACUUCCAAAAUAUUCUUUUUCCUUUGCAAUAAAUUACUCUAUGCUGC
rnacentral:lncRNA from 10 species